UACGUAGGUGACCAGCGUUGUCCGGAUUUACUGGGCGUAAAGAGCGCGCAGGCGGUCGUUCAAGUCGAGUGUGAAAGCCCCCGGCUCAACUGGGGAGGGUCAUUCGAUACUGAUCGACUCGAAGGCAGGAGAGGGAAGCGGAAUUCCCGGUGUAGUGGUGAAAUGCGUAGAUAUCGGGAGGAACACCAGUGGCGAAGGCGGCUUCCUGGCCUGUUCUUGACGCUGAGGCGGCGAAAGCUAGGGGAGCAAACGGG
rnacentral:rRNA from 1 species